GGGCCAUUGCCGGGUGCUACCAUGCAGUCGAACGAUGAAGCCCAGCUUGCUGGGUGGAUUAGUGGCGAACGGGUGAGUAACACGUGAGUAACCUGCCCUUAACUCUGGGAUAAGCCUGGGAAACUGGGUCUAAUACCGGAUAGGAGCGCCUACCGCAUGGUGGGUGUUGGAAAGAUUUAUCGGUUUUGGAUGGACUCGCGGCCUAUCAGCUUGUUGGUGAGGUAAUGGCUCACCAAGGCGACGACGGGUAGCCGGCCUGAGAGGGUGACCGGCCACACUGGGACUGAGACACGGCCCAGACUCCUACGGGAGGCAGCAGUGGGGAAUAUUGCACAAUGGGCGAAAGCCUGAUGCAGCGACGCCGCGUGAGGGAUGACGGCCUUCGGGUUGUAAACCUCUUUCAGUAGGGAAGAAGCGAAAGUGACGGUACCUGCAGAAGAAGCACCGGCUAACUACGUGCCAGCAGCCGCGGUAAUACGUAGGGUGCGAGCGUUAUCCGGAAUUAUUGGGCGUAAAGAGCUCGUAGGCGGUUUGUCGCGUCUGUCGUGAAAGUCCGGGGCUUAACCCCGGAUCUGCGGUGGGUACGGGCAGACUAGAGUGCAGUAGGGGAGACUGGAAUUCCUGGUGUAGCGGUGGAAUGCGCAGAUAUCAGGAGGAACACCGAUGGCGAAGGCAGGUCUCUGGGCUGUAACUGACGCUGAGGAGCGAAAGCAUGGGGAGCGAACAGGAUUAGAUACCCUGGUAGUCCAUGCCGUAACGUUGGGCACUAGGUGUGGGGACCAUUCCACGGUUUCCGCGCCGCAGCUAACGCAUUAAGUGCCCCGCCUGGGGAGUACGG
rnacentral:rRNA from 1 species